GCCCAGACUCCUACGGGAGGCAGCAGUGAGGAAUAUUGGUCAAUGGCCGAGAGGCUGAACCAGCCAAGCCGCGUGAGGGAUGAAGGUACAGAGUAUCGUAAACCUCUUUUGUCAGGGAACAAAGGCGGGGACGUGUCCCCGGAUGAGUGUACCUGAAGAAAAAGCAUCGGCUAACUCCGUGCCAGCAGCCGCGGUAAUACGGAGGAUGCGAGCGUUAUCCGGAUUUAUUGGGUUUAAAGGGUGCGUAGGCGGUCCGUUAAGUCGGGGGUAAAAUUGAGGGGCUCAACCUCUGCGAGCCGUUGAAACUGGUUUUCUUGAGUGAGCGAGAAGUAUGCGGAAUGCGUGGUGUAGCGGUGAAAUGCAUAGAUAUCACGCAGAACUCCGAUUGCGAAGGCAGCAUACCGGCGCUCAACUGACGCUCAUGCACGAAAGUGUGGGUAUCGAACAGGAUUAGAUACCCUAGUAU
rnacentral:rRNA from 1 species